CUACGGGAGGCAGCAGUGGGGAAUUUUCCGCAAUGGGCGAAAGCCUGACGGAGCGACGCUGCGUGAAGGAUGACGGCCUGCGGGUUGUAAACUUCUUUUCUCGAAGAAGAAUAAAUGACGGUAUUCGAGGAAUAAGCAUCGGCUAACUCUGUGCCAGCAGCCGCGGUAAGACAGAGGAUGCAAGUGUUAUUCGGAUUGAUUGGGCGUAAAGCGUCUGUAGGCGGUUUGGAAAGUCUUUUGUGAAAUUCUUCAGCUCAACUGGGGGUCCGCAAAAGAAACUUCUAGGCUUGAGGGAAGUAGAGGUACAGGGAAUUUCCGGUGGAGCGGUGAAAUGCGUAGAUAUCGGAAGGAACACCAAUAUGGCGAAGGCACUGUACUGGGCUUUACCUGACGCUAAGAGACGAAAGCUAAAGGAGUGAUUAGGAUUAGAUACCCUAGUAAUUUUAGCCGUAAACGAUGGAAACUCACUGCCGAGCCGGUAUUCGGAGCGGUGGUCAAGCUAACGCGUGAAGUUUCCCGCCUGGGGACUACGCAUGCAAAUGUGAAACUCAAAGGAAUUGACGGGGACCCGCACAAGCGGUGGAGUAUGUGGUUUAAUUCGAUCAACGCGAAAAACCUUACCAAGGUUUGAAAUCAUUUCAAAACUCUUUGAAAGAAGAGCCUCCUUCGGGAUGGAAUGACAGGUGGUGCAUGGCUGUCGUCAGCUCGUGUUGUGAAAUGUCAAGUUAAGUCUUGUAACGAGCGCAACCCAUGUCUUUUGUUGCUGUUUACAGUGCUUAAAAGAGACUGCCGCUCUACAGCGGAGGAAGGUGUGGAUGAUGUCAAGUCAGCAUGCCCCUUAUAUCUUGGGCUACACACGUACUACAAUGGUAGGGACAAUGAGUCGCAAACCUGCGAAGGCUAGCCAAUCUCAAAAACCCUAUCUCAGUUCGGAUUGUACUCUGCAACUCGAGUGCAUGAAGGUGGAAUCGCUAGUAAUCGCUGGUCAGCAUACAGCGGUGAAUACGUUCCCGGGUCUUGUACACACUGCCCGUCACACCAUGGAAGUCGAUCCUUCCCUAAGUCGUUACUCGAACCUUUUAGGACGAGGAUGCCGAAGGCAGGGUUGGUGACUAGGGUGAAGUCGGAACAAGGUAGCCGUACUGGAAGG
rnacentral:rRNA from 17 species